rnacentral:tRNA from 1 species
CAAGGAGUAGUUCGAAUAAGAAUACUAGCUUUGGGAGUUAGCGGUGAAGGUUCAAGUCCUUCUUCUUUGA